UUGACCUCGGAUCAGGUAGGGAUACCCGCUGAACUUAAGCAUAUCAAUAAGCGGAGGAAAAGAAACCAACCGGGAUUGCCCCAGUAACGGCGAGUGAAGCGGCAAGAGCUCAAAUUUGAAAUCUGGCCCCUCCGGGGUCCGAGUUGUAAUUUGCAGAGGAUGCUUCGGGUGCGGCCCCUGUCUAAGUGCCCUGGAACGGGCCGUCAGAGAGGGUGAGAAUCCCGUCUUGGGCAGGGUGCCCGUGCCCGUGUGAAGCUCCUUCGACGAGUCGAGUUGUUUGGGAAUGCAGCUCUAAAUGGGUGGUAAAUUUCAUCUAAAGCUAAAUACCGGCCGGAGACCGAUAGCGCACAAGUAGAGUGAUCGAAAGAUGAAAAGCACUUUGAAAAGAGAGUUAAACAGCACGUGAAAUUGUUGAAAGGGAAGCGCUUGCGACCAGACUCGGCCUCGGGGUUCAGCCAGCAUUCGUGCUGGUGUACUUCCCCGGGGCCGGGCCAGCGUCGGUUCGGGCGGCCGGUCAAAGGCCCCAGGAAUGUAUCGUCCUCCGGGACGUCUUAUAGCCUGGGGUGCAAUGCGGCCAGCCUGGACCGAGGAACGCGCUUCGGCACGGACGCUGGCGUAAUGGUUGCAAACGACC
rnacentral:rRNA from 6 species